rnacentral:rRNA from 1 species
UCAGGACGAACGCUGGCGGCGUGCUUAACACAUGCAAGUCGAGCGGAAAGGCCCCUUCGGGGGCACUCGAGCGGCGAACGGGUGAGUAACACGUGAGCAACCUGCCCCCGACUUCGGGAUAAGCCUGGGAAACCGGGUCUAAUACCGGGUACGACCCGCCGGUGGCAUCACCGGGGGUGGAAAGAUCUUUUCGGUUGGGGAUGGGCUCGCGGCCUAUCAGCUUGUUGGUGGGGUAGUGGCCUACCAAGGCGACGACGGGUAGCCGGCCUGAGAGGGCGACCGGCCACACUGGGACUGAGACACGGCCCAGACUCCUACGGGAGGCAGCAGUGGGGAAUAUUGCGCAAUGGGCGAAAGCCUGACGCAGCGACGCCGCGUGGGGGAUGACGGCCUUCGGGUUGUAAACCUCUUUCAGCAGGGACGAAGUCAGACGUGUACCUGCAGAAGAAGCGCCGGCUAACUACGUGCCAGCAGCCGCGGUAAUACGUAGGGCGCAAGCGUUGUCCGGAAUCAUUGGGCGUAAAGAGCUCGUAGGUGGCCGGUCGCGUCUGCCGUGAAAGCCCAUGGCUCAACUGUGGGUCUGCGGUGGAUACGGGCCGGCUGGAGGUAGGUAGGGGCAAGCGGAAUUCCUGGUGUAGCGGUGAAAUGCGCAGAUAUCAGGAGGAACACCGGUGGCGAAGGCGGCUUGCUGGGC